GGGAACGUGCCCUUCGGUUCGGAAUAACUCAGGGAAACUUGAGCUAAUACCGGAUACGCCCUUUUGGGGAAAGGCUUGACUGCCGAAGGAUCGGCCCGCGUCUGAUUAGCUAGUUGGUGAGGUUAUGGCUCACCAAGGCGACGAUCAGUAGCUGGUCUGAGGGGAUGAUCAGCCACACUGGGACUGAGACACGGCCCAGACUCCUACGGGAGGCAGCAGUGGGGAAUAUUGGACAAUGGGGGCAACCCUGAUCCAGCCAUGCCGCGUGAGUGAUGACGGCCUUAGGGUUGUAAAGCUCUUUUCUCCGGGACGAUAAUGACGGUACCGGAGGAAUAAGCCCCGGCUAACUUCGUGCCAGCAGCCGCGGUAAUACGAAGGGGGCUAGCGUUGCUCGGAAUCACUGGGCGUAAAGGGCGCGUAGGCGGCUGAUUUAGUCGAGGGUGAAAGCCCGUGGCUCAACCACGGAAUGGCCUUCGAUACUGGUUGGCUUGAGACCGGAAGAGGACAGCGGAACUGCGAGU
rnacentral:rRNA from 1 species